UACAGAGGCCUCGAGCGUUAGGCGGAAUCACUGGGCUUAAAGCGUGUGUAGGCGGACUUCUAAGUACCUUGUGAAAUCCCACGGCUCACCCGUGGAACUGCUUGGUAUACUGGUUGUCUUGAGCCUUCUAGGGGCGAGUGGAACAAAUGGUGGAGCGGUGAAAUGCGUAGAUAUCAUUUGGAACGCCAAUGGUGAAAACAACUCUCUGGGGAAGUGCUGACGCUGAGACACGAAAGCCAGGGGAGCGAACGGG
rnacentral:rRNA from 1 species